UUCCUACAGGCAAAGAGACUCCUCAAGUUUCCUCAAAAAAAGUGGAUAACAAUAAAAGCACAUCAGAAUGCAACUCCAAAGAUACUGGCAGCACUUGUUUAGGAAACCAGAGUAAUGUAACAGAUCCAAGUACGCAGAAAUCACACAGUCCUCCAUGGAUUAAACCAGAAAACAACAAAUCAACUGAGAGAAAAGAAAACAAUGCUGAGGAGUCAGCUGAAAUCAAUGAAAAGACUCUGUAAAUAACACGUAGCUAUCUUUAAAAUGUUAUUCAUUUGCUAUCGUCUUCAUCUUUUUA